rnacentral:rRNA from 1 species
AGACAGCAGUAGCCGCGGUAAUACGUAGGUGGCAAGCGUUGUCCGGAAUUAUUGGGCGUAAAGGGCUCGCAGGCGGUUUCUUAAGUCUGAUGUGAAAGCCCCCGGCUCAACCGGGGAGGGUCAUUGGAAACUGGGAAACUUGAGUGCGGAAGAGGAGAGUGGAAUUCCACGUGUAGCGGUGAAAUGCGUAGAGAUGUGGAGGAACACCAGUGGCGAAGGCGACUCUCUGGUCUGUAACUGACGCUGAGGAGCGAAAGCGUGGGGAGCGAACAGGAUUAGAUACCCCUGUAGUCCCUGUCUCUUAUAC